rnacentral:rRNA from 1 species
UGGGGAAUCUUGCACAAUGGGGGAAACCCUGAUGCAGCGACGCCGCGUGAACGAUGAAGCCCUUCGGGGUGUAAAGUUCUUUCGACAGGAACGAUAAUGACGGUACCUGAGGAGAAAGCCCCGGCUAACUACGUGCCAGCAGCCGCGGUAAUACGUAGGGGGCAAGCGUUGUCCGGAUUUACUGGGUGUAAAGGGCGCGCAGGCGGGAUAAAAAGUCAGUGGUGAAAUCCUACAGCUUAACUGUAGAACUGCCUUUGAUACUUUUAUUCUUGAGUUCGGGAGAGAGAGACGGAAUUCCAGGUGUAGUGGUGAAAUACGUAGAUAUCUGGAAGAACACCAGUUGCGAAGGCGGUCUCUUGGUCCGACACUGACGCUGAGGCGCGAAAGCGUGGGGAGCAAAC